rnacentral:SRP_RNA from 1 species
CCGUGCUAAGUGGGGAGCUAGCGGCACCCUGUACUCGCAAUCCGCUAUAGCGAGGCUGAAUUCCCAAUCGAGGUGGUCAGAUUUAUGGUCUGCCUUAAGGGAUUGGUGUUGACGCUUAGGUCCUGCGCAACAGAAACCCAUGAAUCCUGUCAGGUCCGGAAGGAAGCAGCAGUAAGUGGUCAAUUCUGUGUGCCGUGGGGUUACCGGAGCCGAGCCAUGAACUUAAGUAACGCAUAGGUCUGUUCCAUCGACUGCGGGUGCACGG